UACGUAGGGGGCAAGCGUUGUCCGGAAUCAUUGGGCGUAAAGAGCGCGUAGGCGGUCCGGUAAGUCCGCUCUGAAAGUCCGGGGCUCAACCCCGGGAGGCGGGCGGAUACUGUCGGGCUAGAGUCCGGAAGAGGCGAGUGGAAUUCCUGGUGUAGCAGUGAAAUGCGUAGAUAUCAAGAGGAACACCAGUGGCGAAGGCGAGUCCCUGGACGAUACCUGACACUGAGGCACGAAAGCCGGGGGAGCAAACAGG
rnacentral:rRNA from 1 species